GUAUAGUAGUGCGUGUGCACAACAAUAAUUUCAUUACAUUCGAGUGUGUGUAAAAUCCUCUGCCCGCCGAAGCUAGCAAGAGGCCAAAGGUUCACAGGGUUUGGAUGAAAAAGUCACCAACGUGCACUUGCCGAGGCCGGCCAGCACGGAAGGCAACGAUUCGCAAUCAAUAAUGAUCCUUCCGCAGGUUCACCUACGGAAA
rnacentral:misc_RNA from 1 species